rnacentral:piRNA from 1 species
UGUGACAUCUGUCCCAGAGUUG